GACGAACGCUGGCGGCGUGCUUAACACAUGCGAGUCGAACGGAAAGGCCCUGCUUGCAGGGUGCUCGAGUGGCGAACGGGUGAGUAACACGUGGGUGAUCUGCCCCUUACUUUGGGAUAAGCCUGGGAAACUGGGUCUAAUACUGGAUAGGACCAUGCUGUAGGUGGUGUGGUGGAAAGAUUAGUUUCGGUAAGGGAUGAGCUCGCGGCCUAUCAGCUUGUUGGUGGGGUAAUGGCCUACCAAGGCGUCGACGGGUAGCCGGCCUGAGAGGGUGGACGGCCACAUUGGGACUGAGAUACGGCCCAGAAUCCUACGGGAGGCAGCAGUGGGGAAUAUUGCACAAUGGGCGCAAGCCUGAUGCAGCGACGCCGCGUGGGGGAUGACGGCCUUCGGGUUGUAAACUCCUUUCAGCCAUGACGAAGCCCUUGUGGUGACGGUAGUGGUAGAAGAAGCACCGGCUAACUACGUG
rnacentral:rRNA from 1 species